CCUACGGGAGGCAGCAGUAGGGAAUCUUCCACAAUGGGCGAAAGCCUGAUGGAGCAAAGCCGCGUGGGUGAAGAAGGUCUUCGGAUCGUUAAACCCUGUUGUUCGAGAAGCAAGUGCGUGAGCGUAACUGUUCACGUUUCGACGGUAUCUACCCAGAAAGCCACGGCUCACUACGUGCCAGCAGCCGCGGUAAUACGUAGGUGGCAAGCGUUAUCCGGAUUUAUUGGGCGUAAAGGGAACGCAGGCGGUCUUUUAAGUCUGAUGUGAAAGCCGUCGGCUUAACCGGAGUAGUGCAUUGGAAACUGGGAGACUUGAGUGCAGAAGAGGAGAGUGGAACUCCAGGUGUAGCGGUGAAAUGCGUAGAUAUAUGGAAGAACACCAGUGGCGAAAGCGGCUCUCUGGUCUGUAACUGACGCUGAGGUUCGAAAGCGUGGGUAGCAAACAGGAUUAGAUACCCGUGUAGUC
rnacentral:rRNA from 1 species